CGACCUCCAGGUGUGUCAGUGCACCUGUGCGACCAUCAGGUGUCGGUGUAACUGUGUGAUCUCUAGGCGUGUCAGUGUACCUGCGUGAUCUCCAGGUGCACCUGUGUGACCUUCAGGUGUGUUGUUGACAGUUGAAGGAGUCAAAGCAGGCGGUAAACAGUAUCCGGCAGUUUGUGGAGGAUGACGAUGACGAAGACGAGGUGGAGAAGGUCAGCUGGAGCGGAGAGCCCGUCGGGAGUAUCUCCUGGUCGGUCAAUGAGACGGCAGCAUCCAGUCAGAGGACAGACAGAGAGCCCGCCUUCCCCAAAAUCACCACGGAGACAACGACCAUCAGCAGGAGUCAUUCAGGAUACUCUCUGAGCUCCCUGUUCAAAGGAAAAACUAAAGGAGGAAACUUCCAGUCAUUCACUGAAA